AGCUGCGUGCUGCUCGCUGCCAUGGCACCCGCCAUUUUUCCUUGCUGGAAGUCCCCAUAAGAUGUGUUGCACACAAGACACAUCAUAUGGGGACUUCCAGGAGGCAAACUGGCGGGCGCCACGGCAGCAAGCAGCAAGCAGCU